ensembl:lincRNA Gm16702 predicted gene, 16702
GGAUGCUCAGCGUGUUCCUGCUCUCAGGAGUACACGUCUUACCGGGAUUCUGUCUUACCAGGUAGGCGUUGGACCUGGAAGGGAACCUGGUUGAAGCCUUGGGCGGGGAUGCUGACCAAGCUUCGGGCUGCGACUGCAAACAAGCAAAGAAAGGUGGUGGGCAAGGCGAGCGGUGGCCAGGAACAAAGCCUCAGGCAAGGAAGAAGUAAACAAGCAACCACAGGAAGCCAUUAAGCAGAGUGGGCGCUAAUGAGUGCGCGGCGGGGCCCUGCGCACCCGCCCCGCCAAAACCACCGGGGACUGCCUCGCCGGGCAAUUUGGAGCCCUGAGCCCUGCUGGCAGGCUAUAAACCUGUUUGUAGUCUCCAUCGGUUCCCCCUUCAAGUUUGUGUCGUUAGGGGUGAGGAGGAAAGACCAUCGGAUGCUGUGAUCUCUUCUCAGGACCUGCAGUUGCAGGGGGCAGAUGGGCUUCCAACUCCAAGGCAUCGCAUCGCAUCGCAUCGCAUACCAUAGCAUCGCAUACCAUAGCAUAGCAUCGCAUACCAUAGCAUAGCAUCGCAUACCAUAGCAUAGCAUAGCAUCGCAUCGCAUCGCAUCGCAUCGCAUCGCAUCGCAUCGCAUCGCAUCGCAUCGCAUCGCAUCGCAUCGCAUCGCAUCGCAUAGCACUUUCCAGCUCUAUAAAAGCUAUCCAGUACGGACGAAGCUUCCAAGGUGCUGCCAUGAGAGGAGGAGAGUGAAGCCCACCCCCUGCAGCCCAGGCUAUACAGCUAUAGGCAGUCUGUCACUGUUACGAUAACAAUGUAUCUGAUGCUGUUUUUGUGAAUGGAGAAUAUUCUUUGAGAAUUUACUCAACAAUGUUUGUACACUAGUGUCUUAGUCAGGGUUUCUCUUCCUGCACAAACAUCAUGACCAAGAAGCAAGUUGGGGAGGAAAGGGUUUAUUCAGCUUACNUGGGGAGGAAAGGGUUUAUUCAGCUUACACUUCCACACUGCUGUUCAUCACCAAGGAAGCCAAGACUGAAACUCAAGCAGGUCAGAAAGUACUCAGGCAUGGUCCCACUCACAAGGGGCCUUUCCCCCUUGAUCACUAAUUGAGAAAAUGCCUUACAGUUGGAUCUCAUGGAGGCAUUUCAUCAACUGAAGCUCCUUUUUCUGUGAUAACUCCAGCCUGUGUCAAGUUGAUACAAAACUAGCCAGUACAACUAGUAUCAAUUCAACUUUAAGAAAUUAGCAUGUUUUCGCAUUUACUGUUUUAUUUUUGUUUGUUUAUUUUUGGAGAUAGGGUUUUUCUGUGUAGCCCUGGCUGUCCUGGAACUAUCUGUGUAGAUGAGGCUGGCUGGCCUGGAACUCACAGAGAUCUGCCUACCUCUGCCUCCCAGUGACAGGACUAAAGGUGUGAGCCACCACUGCUCAGCUCCAUUUACAUUUAAUCGUUUUGGGUUUUGUUUUGGUUUGUUUACAUUCUUACAUUUCAAUGGCUUUUUUAAAAUAGGAAAGAUGUUUUCAUCAUAUGCCAAAAUCUUUAUAAUAUUCUUUGGGGAAGCCUAAAAUCCUAUUCCCCAACAGACAAAAGUGAGUGAGGUUCCUUCCAACAGUUAAAGGAGCAAACUGAAAACUUGCUUUUGGGGGCUGGAGAGAUGGCUCAGCAGAUAAGAGCACUGACUGCUCAAAACAACAACAACAACAACAACAACAAAAAACCCAGGACGUGGUGGUGCACGCCUUUAAUCCCAGCACUUGGGAGGCAGAGGGAGGCAGAGGCAGGUGGAUUUCUGAGUUCGAGGACAGCCAGGGCUAUACAGAGAAACCCUGUAUCGAGAAAAAAAACAAAAAACCCUCCCCCCCUAAAAAAAAGAAAGAAAGAAAGUUUGCUUUUGGUACUUAAAAACAUACCCACUUGAAAACUGAUUAAAAACAGCUUUGGUACUUUGGGGAGCCUGCAAGACUGCUUAGUGAGUAAAGGCACUAGCUGCCAAGCUGACUAUCGGAGUCUAAUCCCUGGGACGCACAUGGUGGGAAGGGAUAACCAGCUCCCUAAGUUGUCCCCUGAGCUCCUCCACCUUUGUACUGUGGUGCACGUGCAUGUACACAUACGCAUGCAUAAACACAGAAUAAAUACAUACACU